rnacentral:sRNA from 1 species
GCUGGGCAUGGUGACACAUGCCUGUAAUCCAGCAAAUUGGGAGGCUGAGGCAGGAGGAUGACGACUAAGGCCAGCCUCAGCAACUUAGUGAGACUCUGUCUCAA